AUUCUCAAAUGAUGAAUUAGAGUCCAAAUGUUUAUUUAAAAUGGCUUUGGGCCAUAAUAAUCAAUAAGUCCAACCAAUUAAUAAUUAUAUAAACUUGGGCUUACAAUUAAUUGAGCCCAAAACAAUUUAAAUAAUUUGGGAGCAAGCCCAAGAAUUCUUUCCUUCUUCCUUCUUUCUUUCCUCCUUCUCGGCCGAUUCUUCUCCAUGGAGACUCUCCAUGUUUCCAACUCCUUUAUCUUCCAUCUUCCACCUUCAAUUCUAAAAUCAAAAGUCACACAAAUUAAUACAUAAGAUCCUUCAUUUAUCUCCUCUCGUACCCUUCCACUUCAACAUUUACAAGCAAAAAUCACACAGAGAGAGAGAGGGAGAGCCAAGAGUUUCAGGAAAGCCACUGCCCUGUUUUGCUUCAAUCUCAUAACAAGCCAAGAAAUCGAAAGUUCCAAAUCCAAGGAGCUCUCUCUUUCGGACCGUGGCACCACUUUCCUUCAAACGGUUUGAGGUGGUUCGCACGCUCGUUAAAGUCUGAUCACGAAGUUUGUUAAGGAAACUACUAAGCUUUUGAGGUUGAGCGUGGACGGGGGGCGGAGGAUGUUGAGCAUUUGGACAAAGACAGUAUUCAAUAAAUGAUUCGGUUGCUAUUGUGUCUUCAUACAUAGUAGUAGCUAACUCUCGAUUGCUUCCGCUACGUCAAGUUUUAAAACUCUUAUGUUUCCUUAAUUUGUUGAACUAAUUUCAUUCAAACUAUGUUGCUUCGUGAUCUCAGACUAUAAUUUGAUAAUAAAGUUUCGUCUUUUGAUCUA